rnacentral:rRNA from 1 species
AGGACGAACGCUGGCGGCGUGCCUAACACAUGCAAGUCGAGCGGAGUCAGGAAGCUUGCUUUUGACUAGUGGCGGACGGGUGAGUAACGCGUGAGUAACCUGCCUCUGAGAGGGGAACAACGUUCUGAAAAGAACGCUAAUACCGCAUAACGUAUCGAAGCCGCAUGACUUUGAUACCAAAGAUUUUAUCGCUCGGAGAUGGACUCGCGUCCGAUUAGUUAGUUGGUGAGGUAACGGCUCACCAAGACCGCGAUCGGUAGCCGGACUGAGAGGUUGAUCGGCCACAUUGGGACUGAGGCACGGCCCAGACUCCUACGGGAGGCAGCAGUGGGGGAUAUUGCGCAAUGGGGGCAACCCUGAACCGCAGCAACGCCGCGUGAAGGAUGAAGGUUUUCGGAUUGUAAACUUCUUUUAUCAGGGACGAAAUCUGACGGUACCUGAUGAAUAAGCUCCGGCUAACUACGUGCCAGCCGCCGC